AUCCUUACCUAGAUGAAAUCAAUGAAUGAUCAGUAAGGUCCAUGAUUUAGGACAAUGACUUCUGGUUUAGGACAAUAACUUCCAUUGUACUUGGGAAUGGUGUUAUAUUAAGGUUUAUCUAAGUGGUGAGAACUACAUCAUAAUUUGUGAUAACUAAGGUCUAUCUAC